rnacentral:lncRNA from 1 species
GGCAGGAGAAUUGUUUGAACCUGGGAGGCGGAGGUUGCAGUGAGCCUAGAUCGCGCCACUUCACUCCAGCCUGGGCAGAAGAGUGAAACUCUUUGAGAGUUUUUUUUGAGACAGAGUCUCAAAAAGAACCCAGUCGGGUGCAGUGCCUCACACCUGUAAUCCUAGUACUUUGGGAGGCCCAGGUGGUUGGAUCACCUGAGGUCAGGAGUCCAAGACCAGCCUGGCUAACAUGGCAAAACCCCGUCUCUACUAAAAAUAGAAAAAUUAGCUGGGCGUGGUAGUGGGCGCCUAUAAUCCCAGCUACUCAGGAGGCUGAGGCAGGAGAAUCACUUGAACCCGGGAGGCAGAAGUUGCAAUGAGCCGAGAUCAUGCCAUCUCACUCCAGCCUGGGUGGGGAAGAGUGAAACUCCAUCUCAAAGAAAAAAAAAAAAAAAAAGAACCAAUCCCCUGAUGGCUGGAUCCCCAUCUCAAAUUCCUGCUCUAUUUCUUAAUUUCUUAAGGGGCUCUAGCUGAAGGCAUAACAGAUACUGUGUCAAAGUGAGAUGAGGCAGAUUGGUGGAGCAGAAAGAACUAGUCUGGAAGUUGAGUCCCCUGGUUCCCACUUAGUCCCUUCUUAUCUGUGGAUCAGCUUCCUCUCCUAUAUAAGAGGAUAACAUAGCAAUCCUUGCCCUGUUAUGAGGAUCAAAUGUGAUGAUAAAGUGUGCUUUAUCACCUGGUAAGGUUCUGAGCUGCUGUGGAAGCCAAAGACCCAGCAUUUGACAGUGAUACUAGGCAGCACGUGUUGUGCUGUGGAUGCAGUUACUCAUGGAGGAUUUGCAACUGCAACAGUUACCUCCACUCAGAGAACCAGGCUUUGCUGACACUGCCCAUGGUCCUAUGUGUGCCACCCUGGUGGAGACCUCCUCCUGAACACUUGGCAGACUGAGUUUCUUGAGGACAGACACUUCGAUGCACCUCUGAGUCCCCAGAGCUCACUGCAGUCAGAUACAGGGGGCCCUUUGGAAGGGGUCCAGUGAUGGUUUCUCACUCAGUAUGUUGACACCUGGACAGCACGGCAAGUCCCACAUUCUUUGGGAAAGAGAACGCUUGAUUUGGUGACAUUGUCCCUCCAGCUGCCAGCUGCACUGAGGGAUUACAUCCAUGCUACUCCCCUGACUACCCUAUCAGUGAAGACAAAACUAAGUGGACUUUGUGAACCAACUGGUAUAGGUAAAAAUAAUAAUAAUGAUAAUAAUUAAAAUAAAAUUAAGUGGAUUUGGGUAAGGGCCCUCCUAGGAGAAAUCACACUGGUAGGUCAGGUUCUGAUUCCUGGAGGCCCGUUUUAUGUGAAAAGUCUCAUAGACCAGCCUGGGCAACACAGUGAGACUGUCUCUACAAAAAAUAAAAACAAAUUUAGUUGGGCAUGGUGGCAUGUCCCUGUGGUCCCAGCUACUCAAGAGGCUGAGGCAGGAAGGUCACCUGAGCCUGGGAGGUUGAGACUGCUGUUAGCUGUAAUCACACCGCUGCACUUGAGCCUGGGAGACAGAGCAAGACCCUGUCUCAAACAACAACAACAACAAAUUCUUGUAGAGUUUGUGAGUUAGGGAUUAUUAUCCUUAGUUAUAGAUGAGCAAACUGAGGCUAACAGCAGUAGAGUGACUUGCUCAAGUCAAAUAGCUUAAGGGAAGUCUGGGUCCAAAGUCUAAGCUUUGCCUCCACUCCCACACGCUGUCUUUGUGCACUCCGGCCAGUGACCCAGGUUGGGGCCUGGAGAAAAACAGCCUGACUCCCCUGUUGCUCCACACUCCUCACCUCCCUAACUUAAAGAUCAGUUUAUCCUCAGACAAUUCUAAAUGAUUUCUGGCCGUUUCCAGAAAAUUAUCCAGAAAAGCAACAUUUGUCUGAUGCACAUACAUACAUACAUACACAGAAGACCUAAACUCGCAACACAUAAACUCAAAUCUAUCACACCUCCUGACACCCUCAAUCUCACAGGUGUCUCACAUACACCCUCUCUCUUUCACAAAAAGGACUCAUUCAAAGUUCUUUAGGGCACUUAUGGUAGGUGGUGACUGAGAGACAUUUAGGGCCUGCACUUCAGUGACUCUGCCAAGGAUAUCAGUGCCAGCACCCUAUCCACACAAGCUCUGAGGGCUAAGACUCUCAGUAAUAUCCAGGUAAGGAGGAUAUGAGGCUGGCUCCCCAGGGACCCACAACCCAAAGCAUCUUCUAGGUUCAAGGCAAGAUGAUUUUGGCAAAUCAUUUAUCUUUUCAGUUUCUUUAUCUGUAAUCUAAGAAUCAGAAUACCUACUUCGGUGGGAAGAUGUGAGAUUUAAAAUUAAGUAUGCCUGCCGGGCGUGGUGGCUCACGCCUGUAAUCCCAACACUUUGGAUCACGAAGUCAGAUCAAGACUAUCCUGGCUAACACAGUGAAACCCCGUCUCUACUAAAAAUACAAAAAAAUUAGCCGGGCAUGGUGGCACGCGCCUGUAGUCCCAGCUACUUGGGAGGCUGAGGCAGGAGAAUCACUUGAGCCGGGGAGCCGGAGGUUGCAGUGAUCCGAGAUCAUGCCACUGCACUCCAGCCUGGGCGACAGAGACUCUGUCUCAAAAAAAAAAAAAAAAAAUUAAGUAUCCCUAGCAUUCAGUCAAGAGUUCUCAUAUCUUUUUCCCCUCCUUUAUCUCAUCCCUACCUCCCUCUUCUCCUGGCCAUUCAAAUGCAAAGUCCGAUUGAGCAAUGAGCCCUGGAGCAGGCCUAGAGGGCCAAAUAAUCCCAUGAUGUGAAGAAACUCCAUUUCUCUUGCAACCAGGUUUAGAUGGUAUAUAUUCCGUAAUUUCUGAUUUCUGGGUGGCCUUGGAGGCUCGGAAUUUUUUUUUUUUCUUUGAGACGGAGUCUCGCUCUGUCAUCCAGGCUGGAGUGCAGUGGCGCGAUCUCAGCUCACUGCAAGCUCAGCUUCCCGGUUUCACGCCAUUCUCCUGGGAGGCUCGGAAUGUUUGAAGGAAUUUUUAUGACUGCUACUCACUGCCUUGAAAUGUUUCCCCUG